rnacentral:tRNA from 1 species
CUAGGUGUAGCUUAGUGGUAGAGUGCUUGCCUAACAUGCAUGAGGCCCUGGGUUCAAUCCCCAAUACUGAAA